rnacentral:rRNA from 1 species
CCUACGGGAGGCAGCAGUGAGGAAUAUUGGUCAAUGGGCGCGAGCCUGAACCAGCCAAGUCGCGUGAGGGAUGAAGGUUCUAUGGAUCGUAAACCUCUUUUAUAGGGGAAUAAAGUGUGGGACGUGUCCUAUUUUGUAUGUACCUUAUGAAUAAGGAUCGGCUAACUCCGGGCCAGCAGCCGCGGUAAUACGGAGGAUCCGAGCGUUAUCCGGAUUUAUUGGGGUUAAAGGGGGCGUAGGCGGCCUUUUAAGUCAGCGGGGAAAGUUUGGGGAUCAACCAUAGAAUGGCCGUUGAAACUGGGGGGCUUGAGUAUGUGUGAGGAAGGCGGAAUGCGUGGUGUAGCGGUGAAAUGCUUAGAUAUCACGCAGAACCCCGAUUGCGAAGGCAGCCUGCCAAGCCAUGACUGACGCUGAUGCACGAAAGCGUGGGGAUCAAACAGGAUUAGAUACCCGAGUAGUC